rfam:Schistosoma mattheei strain Denwood, Zambia genome assembly, scaffold: SMTD_scaffold0008364
AGCUUUUUGAAUUCGUGCUGAGGUUUCGUCAGACGCCAAAAUAUUAGGGUUGAUCAGACUUCCAAGAUAAGUGAAGUU